rnacentral:rRNA from 1 species
UACGUAGGGGGCAAGCGUUGUCCGGAAUUACUGGGCGUAAAGGGCUCGUAGGCGGCCAACUAAGUCAGACGUGAAAUCCCUCGGCUUAACCGGGGAACUGCGUCUGAUACUGGAUGGCUUGAGUUCGGGAGAGGGAUGCGGAAUUCCAGGUGUAGCGGUGAAAUGCGUAGAUAUCUGGAGGAACACCGGUGGCGAAGGCGGCUCUCUGGGACGUGACUGACGCUGAGGUGCGAAAGCGUGGGGAGCAAACAGG